CCCUUAGAUGUUCUGGGCCGCACGCGCGCUACACUGAUUCAUGCAACAAGUUUUGUCCUUGGCUGAUAGGCCUGGGUAAUCUUUGAACGUGAAUCGUGAUGGGGAUAGAUGAUUGCAAUUAUUCAUCUUCAACGAGGAAUUCCUAGUAAACGCAAGUCAUCAGCUUGCAUUGAUUACGUCCCCGCCCUUUGUACACACCGCCCGUCGCACCUACCGAUUGAAUGGUCCGGUGAAAUCUUCGGAUCUGAGAGAUGUCUGAUUAAUUUCGGACGCCUUUUGGAAAAGUUGCUUAAACCUUACCAUUUAGAGGAAGGUGAAGUCGUAACA
rnacentral:rRNA from 1 species